rnacentral:rRNA from 1 species
GGACUACAAGGGUAUCUAAUCCUGUUCGCUCCCCACGCCUUCGCGCUUCAGCGUCAGUGCCGGCCCAGCGGGCCGCCUUCGCCACCGGUGUUCUUCCUGAUCUCUACGCAUUUCACCACUCCACCAGGAAUUCCACCCGCCUCUACCGGUCUCAAGUCUCCCAGUUCGCCACGACCCUCCCGGGUUAAGCCCGGGGCUUUCACGUGCCGCUUAAAAGACCGCCUGCGCGCGCUUUACGCCCAGUCAUUCCGGACAACGCUCGGGCCCUACGUAUUACCGCGGCUGCUGGCAC